CAGCGGUGGGGCUGUUGGCUCCGCGGAGUUAGACGCCGAGGGGCCUUUGGAAGCCGGUGCAACUUAGCUACUUUGGACCAGACCGGAACUAGGGAAGGACUAGGGGGUUGGUGAUGUUCAGGGAUGUGGCUGUAGACUUCUCUCAGGAGGAGUGGGAAUGCCUGGACUCUACUCAGAGGGAUUUAUAUAGAGAUGUAAUGAUGGAGAAUUACAGCAACCUGGUCUUACUAGGACUCUCUAUUCCUAAGCCUGAUGUGAUUUUCUUAUUAGAGCAAGGGAAAGAGCCCUGGAUUUUUUCAAGGAACAUGGUGGGAG